rnacentral:rRNA from 1 species
UAUCCGGAUUUACUGGGCGUAAAGGGUGCGUAGGCGGUCUUUCAAGUCAGGAGUGAAAGGCUACGGCUCAACCGUAGUAAGCUCUUGAAACUGGGAGACUUGAGUGCAGGAGAGGAGAGUGGAAUUCCUAGUGUAGCGGUGAAAUGCGUAGAUAUUAGGAGGAACACCAGUUGCGAAGGCGGCUCUCUGGACUGUAACUGACGCUGAGGCACGAAAGCGUGGGGAGCAAACAGGAUUAGAUACCCUGGUAGUCCACGCUGUAAACGAUGAGUACUAGGUGUCGGGGGUUACCCCCUUCGGUGCCGCAGCUA